AGCCUCAUUGUGGAUUAGAAUGCGCACUGUUGAUUGGUAUCCACAAUUGGUCAAUGUGGCUAAAAUUGAGACACAGGUCAUGCUUCCAUCACAGUAAACAUUACAGUGGUGACAAUGAGGCCUGUAACAUUU
rnacentral:snoRNA from 1 species